AACGUAGGUGGCAAGCGUUAUCCGGAUUUACUGGGCGUAAAGCGUGUGCAGGCGGGGGUACAAGUGGUGUAUGAAAUUUCCCAGCUUAACUGGGAAGGGUUAUGCCAGGCUGUACUUCUGGAGUGCGAGAGAGGGGCGUGGAAUUCCAGGUGUAGCGGUGAAAUGCGUAGAUAUCUGGAGGAAUACCGGUGGCGAAGGCGGCAUCCUGGACCAUUACUGACGCUGAAUCGCGAAAGCUAGGGGAGCAAACGGGG
rnacentral:rRNA from 1 species